CCUCGUGAUGACUGCAUCUGUCUGUUGCAUGGAGCUUCACUGAAGGACUUCCUGAGCCUGAUGGAUUUACAAUGAUACUCAGGUGCCUGGGGAA
rfam:Tursiops truncatus cont1.401775, whole genome shotgun sequence.